rnacentral:rRNA from 1 species
GGUGAGUAAUAUAUAGGUAAUAUGCCUUUUGGUUUGGAAUAACCCCGCGAAAGCGGGGCUAAUACCGAAUGAUGCAGCGGCUCCGCAUGGAGAUGUUGUUAAAGCUUCGGCGCCAAAAGAUUAACCUGUAUCCCAUUAGAUAGUUGGCGAGGUAACGGCUCACCAAGUCUGCGAUGGGUAGCUGAUCUGAGAGGAUGAUCAGCCACACUGGAACUGAGACACGGUCCAGACUCCUACGGGAGGCAGCAGUGAGGAAUAUUGCGCAAUGGAGGAAACUCUGACGCAGCGACGCCGCGUGAAGGAUGAAGGCCCUCUGGGUUGUAAACUUCUGUAGAGAGGGAAGAAUUUUUCGCUUCGCGAAAUUGACGGUACCUCUAAAGUAAGGGUCGGCUAACUACGUGCCAGCAGCCGCGGUAAUACGUAGGACCAAAGCGUUGUCCGGAUUUACUGUGUGUAAAGGGAGCGCAGGCGGUUUUUCAAGUCGAUGGUGAAAUCUUGCGGCUCAACCGCAAAACAGCCGUCGAUACUGUUAAUCUUGAGUGUGUAAGAGAGUGGCGGAAUUCAUGGUGUAGCAGUGAAAUGCGUAGAUAUCAUGAAGAACACCGGUUGCGAAGGCGGCCACUUAGUCCAUUACUGACGCUCAUGCUCGAAAGCGUGGGGGUCAAACAGGAUUAGAUACCCUGAUAGUCCACGCCCUAAACGAUGAAUACUCGGUGUCGGGACUCAUGAUUCGGCCGCAUAAGCAAACGCAUUUAGUAUUCCACCUGGGAAGUACGAUCGCAAGGGUU